GGAUAACGCGUCGAAAGAUGUGCUAAUACCGCAUACGCACUAUGGCGGAAAGCGGGGGAUCGCAAGACCUCGCGCUAUUAGAGCGGCCGAUGCCCGAUUAGCUAGUUGGUGAGGUAAAGGCCCACCAAGGCGACGAUCGGUAGCUGGUCUGAGAGGAUGAUCAGCCACACUGGGACUGAGACACGGCCCAGACUCCUACGGGAGGCAGCAGUGGGGAAUUUUGGACAAUGGGCGCAAGCCUGAUCCAGCCAUGCCGCGUGAGUGAAGAAGGCCUUCGGGUUGUAAAGCUCUUUCGGCCGGAACGAAAUCGUCCGGGCUAAUACCCCUGACGGAUGACGGUACCGGAAGAAGAAGCACCGGCUAACUACGUGCCAGCAGCCGCGGUAAUA
rnacentral:rRNA from 1 species